GUCUACGGCCAUCCUACCCUGAACAAGCCUGAUCUGGGAAGCUAAGCAGGGUUGGGCCUGGUUAGUACUUAAAUGGGAGACCACCUAGGAAGACCAGGUGCUGUAGGCA
rnacentral:rRNA from 1 species